GACGAACGCUGGCGGCGUGCUUAACACAUGCAAGUCGAACGGAAAGGCCCUGCCUUUGUGGGGUGCUCGAGUGGCGAACGGGUGAGUAACACGUGAGUAACCUGCCCUUUACGUUGGGAUAACUUCAGGUAACUGGGGCUAAUACCGGAUAGGAGCUCCUGCUGCAUGGUGGGGGUUGGAAAGUUUCGGCGGUUGGGGAUGGACUCGCGGCUUAUCAGCUUGUUGGUGGGGUAGUGGCUUACCAAGGCUUUGACGGGUAGCCGGCCUGAGAGGGUGACCGGCCACAUUGGGACUGAGAUACGGCCCAGACUCCUACGGGAGGCAGCAGUGGGGAAUAUUGCACAAUGGGCGGAAGCCUGAUGCAGCAACGCCGCGUGCGGGAUGACGGCCUUCGGGUUGUAAACCGCUUUCGCCUGUGACGAAGCGUGAGUGACGGGAAUGGGUAGAGAAGCACCGGCUAACUACGUG
rnacentral:rRNA from 1 species